UUCACCAGAGAGGCAGGACAGCGACCAAGAAGUGCAGUUAAGAAUGCUUCUUCAUGGUGAGAUGGAUAGAUUUGAUGACACAACUGUGUCACUCUUAAAAGGUUUUGGACGAGAUGGGCCGAAUUCUAGAGUCAGGCACCAAGAACUUCACUGACCAGAUCAAAGCCAGAUGGGGAAGCUUUUGCGAAAAUGCGCUGUUCUUUGGAGUGUGGAACAAGUCGUUGAAGCCACCAAUGGCUGGACAAGCGAUUGCUUUCAUGAAGGCACUUCCCUCAAUGUUUCCUUCGCCAGCUGCCCCACCCAAAAAGCUUGAGUCAGCAAGUGAGGCACUGUUCCCUGUUCUUGAGCCAUCCGAGGACCCCAAUACGUUUCUCCAGAGACGGCCCAUCACCAGUCCAGUCAUCCUAGACUCUACUAACCUCCUCCUGGCUGUUGGCAAAAUCCCACUGAUGACCCUACCUAGGGAAAUGAUGCACGAGGCUCCACUCAU